UCCACCACGCCUGCUCUCCCCACCGUUCCAACCAUUAAAAAACACAAUCUGGAGAAAAACAAACAAAACAGGGGUAACGAAGAAGCAUAAAGGAGAAGCUUGAGUAUCUGAUUUCGCUCUCAGAAAAUCUAAUAGUUCUAUUUCAGCACUUAGGAAAGUAAGUCUUAUCAACGUUUUCUUUCCGAUCACGAAAAUGACAAUCUUUUAGAAGUAUCCUAAUAAAUGCAAUAUUCUCCAUCUUGAUAGUUUCAGAAGCACAAAAAUGCCCAUUAGGGAAUCUUGUAUAGUACCUGAAACCAGAAUUUGAUUCUUUGGAAAAUACAUAACAGGGCUGCUGAGUGCAUCUGUAGCGUCCCUUGAAGAUAUCUUCCCUUCCUGGUAUUUACAUUUUUAUUUCUCAAAGCCUUUGACAAUGGAAUCCUUUGCUUGUGGGAAGCAUGAAGAGAGAAUUUUGAGGUUUUGGAGUGAGGGUGGGUUGGGGAACAAGCACAGCAAGAGAGUUGGUGAUAUUUUCAAGAGUUAAGAGGAGAGAGAGGUUCCUAGUCCUGAAACAAUGAAGAGCACAGACCACCCUCCUGGGAGUAAUGAAUCCAACCAAGAAUUCUCUUACAUUCACUUGUUAUGAUUCAUUAGUUUUCUCCAAUCUGACAGUUCCUGAUGCCCUGGGCCCAGUCGAUUGUAUGAGACUUGUGAAGAGUACUGGUCAUGUAUUUUCAAGAAUGCGCCUCAAUUUGGAUUUGCAUUAUCUUUGCUCACAGUAAUCUUAAAGGUCACUUAAGGAGCUUUCUCAGAUCUCCCAGUGAAAAUCUGGUGGAGUUCUUGGAGGAAGAGCCCGGGAAGGUGUUGGGAGUCUCCUCUAACUGCAGCCUCUAGGAGCUUCUCACCUCCUGCAGACUCUACACAGUCUGGCGAUUCUUAAUCCACUACAUACGUGAUCCUUGACCGCAGUUCCUACUCCAGAGUUUCUGGACCAGUUGACUGCCUUGAAACAUCAUCAUUCCAAUGGGCUCAGGAAAAGUUGUGAACUUGAACACCACUGUGAAUUUUGAACCAUGCAAAUGUAUUGUCCAUUCACAAAUUUCAAAAAGAAAAGUGCAAAACCAAGUAAUAACUACUCAAAACUCUUGCAUGUGAGAAGCAAUUUGUUCAAAAAGGCUACUUCCAGAAACCUUCAGAGUCAUAGGUGCCAUGGAAUUGAGAAUGUGAAGUAAGAAGGAUCAUAUACUGGAUGCCACAUAACACCAAUCAAGGGUCCUGGAGAAGCCUACAUGAAUAAUUCUGCAGCAAAAUACAUGAAUUUUAGCACUAAAUAGAAUAAAGACUAUA